CGCGCGCGCCUGCGGCCGUUGGGGAGGGGGGGGGACGGUGGGCGCGCCUGGCGCGGUCGCCGUUCGGACUUCUCCUCCCUCCCAUCAGAGCCCCAGUUAGUCCGCGUCCUGGGGCCGCCCAGCCCCGCCCACGCGCCAGCUUACCUGCGCGGCUGAGCGGGAGAGGAACAAGCUCUGCUCCACGGCACGGCAAAAGAAGCACGAGUUCUCCGUGGAUAUGACCUGUGAAGGCUGCUCUAACGCAGUCACUCGAGUCCUCAACAAGCUAGGAGGAGUUCAAUUUGACAUUGACCUGCCCAACAAAAAGGUCUGCAUCAACUCUGAGCACAGCGUGGAC